UAGGGAAUCUUCCGCAAUGGACGAAAGUCUGACGGAGCAACGCCGCGUGAGUGAUGAAGGUUUUCGGAUCGUAAAGCUCUGUUGCCAGGGAAGAAUGCUUGGGAGAGUAACUGCUCCCAAGGUGACGGUACCUGAGAAGAAAGCCCCGGCUAACUACGUG
rnacentral:rRNA from 1 species